rnacentral:rRNA from 1 species
GAUGAACGCUGGCGGCGUGCUUAACACAUGCAAGUCGAACGAAGCAUUUAGGACAGAUUACUUCGGUUUGAAGUUCUUUAUGACUGAGUGGCGGACGGGUGAGUAACGCGUGGGUAACCUGCCUUGUACUGGGGGAUAGCAGCUGGAAACGGCUGGUAAUACCGCAUAAGCGCACAAUGUUGCAUGACAUGGUGUGAAAAACUCCGGUGGUAUAAGGUGGACCCGCGUCUGAUUAGCUAGUUGGUGAGAUAACAGCCCACCAAGGCGACGAUCAGUAGCCGACCUGAGAGGGUGACCGGCCACAUUGGGACUGAGACACGGCCCAGACUCCUACGGGAGGCAGCAGUGGGGAAUAUUGCACAAUGGAGGAAACUCUGAUGCAGCGACGCCGCGUGAGUGAAGAAGUAAUUCGUUAUGUAAAGCUCUAUCAGCAGGGAAGAUAGUGACGGUACCUGACUAAGAAGCUCCGGCUAAAUACGUG